rnacentral:rRNA from 1 species
AACGAACGCUGGCGGCAUGCCUAACACAUGCAAGUCGAACGAGACCUUCGGGUCUAGUGGCGCACGGGUGCGUAACGCGUGGGAACCUGCCUUUAGGUUCGGAAUAACUCAGAGAAAUUUGAGCUAAUACCGGAUGAUGUCUUCGGACCAAAGAUUUAUCGCCUUUAGAUGGGCCCGCGUUGGAUUAGCUAGUUGGUGGGGUAAAGGCCUACCAAGGCGACGAUCCAUAGCUGGUCUGAGAGGAUGAUCAGCCACACUGGGACUGAGACACGGCCCAGACUCCUACGGGAGGCAGCAGUGGGGAAUAUUGGACAAUGGGCGAAAGCCUGAUCCAGCAAUGCCGCGUGAGUGAUGAAGGCCUUAGGGUUGUAAAGCCCUUUUACCCGAGAUGAUAAUGACAGUAUCGGGAGAAUAAGCUCCGGCUAACUCCGUG